GAUGAACGCUGGCGGCGUGCCUAAUACAUGCAAGUCGAGCGAACGGACGAGAAGCUUGCUUCUCUGAUGUUAGCGGCGGACGGGUGAGUAACACGUGGAUAACCUACCUAUAAGACUGGGAUAACUUCGGGAAACCGGAGCUAAUACCGGAUGAUAUUUUGAACCGCAUGGUUCAAAAGUGAAAGACGGUCUUGCUGUCACUUAUAGAUGGAUCCGCGCUGCAUUAGCUAGUUGGUAAGGUAACGGCUUACCAAGGCAACGAUGCAUAGCCGACCUGAGAGGGUGAACGGCCACAAUGGAACUGAGACACGGUCCAGAAUCCUACGGGAGGCAGCAGUAGGGAAUCUUCCGCAAUGGGCGAAAGCCUGACGGAGCAACGCCGCGUGAGUGAUGAAGGUCUUCGGAUCGUAAAACUCUGUUAUUAGGGAAGAACAUAUGUGUAAGUAACUGUGCACAUCUUGACGGUACCUAAUCAGAAAGCCACGGCUAACUACGU
rnacentral:rRNA from 1 species